AUACGGAGGGGGUUAGCGUUGUUCGGAAUUACUGGGCGUAAAGCGUACGUAGGCGGAUUGGAAAGUAUGGGGUGAAAUCCCAGGGCUCAACCCUGGAACUGCCUCAUAAACUCCCAGUCUAGAGUUCGAGAGAGGUGAGUGGAAUUCCGAGUGUAGAGGUGAAAUUCGUAGAUAUUCGGAGGAACACCAGUGGCGAAGGCGGCUCACUGGCUCGAUACUGACGCUGAGGUACGAAAGUGUGGGGAGCAAACAGGAUUAGAAACCCUAGUGUCC
rnacentral:rRNA from 1 species